AGAUCAAGAACCAAAAAAAUCGAAUUUGGACCGGGGAAAAAUGAAAGUUGUCGACUAGCAGCCCCGUCCCGUUUUACGACGUCGGAGGGCUUUAAUGCUGGUGCCGUUUGUUUCAAAUGAAACUAGACUCAAAAUGGAAUCUGUACAUAUAAGAUUUUGAGAAGUCAAGUUACAAGCUCGGGGAAUCGUCUGCGAAGCUCAUCGCACUAUCAUCUAUUUUGGGUACUUUUAUAAGUUAAAUUAAAGAUUAUGGCAUGUAUAGGCUAAAGUAUGUUUUGGAAAUGUUGAAUUUUUGGUUAUGUAUAAAGCCAUGCGAAAAUGGCUAAAUUCUUAAAUUGGUUUGGUUGUGUUCUUGAUUGUGGCUAUUUCUUUACUUGAAUUUGGUUAUGUAUGAUCAUGGUAUGAUCUCAUUAGGGUUAAUAUGUUGUGAAUGAAUGAAUCAAUAGUUAAGCUUA